rnacentral:lncRNA from 1 species
CGGUGCUCUCCUAUGCACCUACGUCCACUCCCCAAGCGACCCCUUGGGAAUUCACUAUAAUCCCGCGGAUUACAGUUGGAUUGUUUUUCGGGCUCACAAUCCAAAAACCUUUACACUUUGGUUUUCCAGGAUCACCAAGAACCUAUGUUGGUUUUACGGGCUCACCAACGAACCUUCACAAUUGGUUUUACAGGUUCACCAACAACCUACGUUGGUUUUACGGGCUUACCAACAACCUACACCGUUGGUUUUACGGGCUCACCAACAAACCUUUACCGUUGGUUUUACGGGCUCACCAACAAACCUUUACAAGGUGAUUAAAAAGAAGAAGAAAGUUGAAACUUCUAGAUGAGCAAAUAUAACAAUUAUAAGCUACAAAGAAGAGUUUAGAAUAUAGUUAUCGCUUUAAUAAGGCUCUUCUCUUCUUUGUCAAGAUUGCUUCACACUUCAAGGGUUGGUGGAGCUCUUAAUGUCUCUUGGA